UUGCACCUGGUGGCGAGUGGCGAACGGGUGAGUAAUACAUCGGAACGUACCUUAUCGUGGGGGAUAACGCAGCGAAAGCUGUGCUAAUACCGCAUACGCCCUGAGGGGGAAAGCGGGGGAUCGAAAGACCUCGCGCGAUUAGAGCGGCCGAUGCCUGAUUAGCUUGUUGGUGGGGUAAAAGCCCACCAAGGCGACGAUCAGUAGCUGGUCUGAGAGGACGAUCAGCCACACUGGGACUGAGACACGGCCCAGACUCCUACGGGAGGCAGCAGUGGGGAAUUUUGGACAAUGGGGGAAACCCUGAUCCAGCAAUGCCGCGUGAGUGAAGAAGGCCUUCGGGUUGUAAAGCUCUUUUGUCAGGGAAGAAACACCGGCUCUAACACAGUCCGGGAAUGACGGUACCUGAAGAAUAAGCACCGGCUAACUACGUGCCAGCAGCCGCGGUAAUACGUAGGGUGCGAGCGUUAAUCGGAAUUACUGGGCGUAAAGCGUGCGCAGGCGGUUAUACAAGACAGGCGUGAAAUCCCCGGGCUUAACCUGGGAAUGGCGCCUGUGACUGUAUAGCUAGAGUGUGUCAGAGGGGGGUAGAAUUCCACGUGUAGCAGUGAAAUGCGUAGAUAUGUGGAGGAAUACCAAUGGCGAAGGCAGCCCCCUGGGAUAACACUGACGCUCAUGCACGAAAGCGUGGGGAGCAAACAGG
rnacentral:rRNA from 1 species